rnacentral:rRNA from 1 species
AGCGAACGCUGGCGGCAGGCUUAACACAUGCAAGUCGAGCGGGCAUCUUCGGGUGUCAGCGGCGGACGGGUGAGUAACGCGUGGGAACGUGCCUUCUGGUUCGGAAUAACUCAGGGAAACUUGAGCUAAUACCGGAUACGCCCUUUUGGGGAAAGGUUUACUGCCGGAAGAUCGGCCCGCGUCUGAUUAGCUAGUUGGUGGGGUAACGGCCUACCAAGGCGACGAUCAGUAGCUGGUCUGAGAGGAUGAUCAGCCACACUGGGACUGAGACACGGCCCAGACUCCUACGGGAGGCAGCAGUGGGGAAUAUUGGACAAUGGGCGCAAGCCUGAUCCAGCCAUGCCGCGUGAGUGAUGAAGGCCUUAGGGUUGUAAAGCUCUUUUAUCCGGGACGAUAAUGACGGUACCGGAGGAAUAAGCCCCGGCUAACUUCGUGCCAGCCGCCGCGGUAA